AUCUGUAUGGACUCUGAUAAAACCACUUCUUCAGGCACAGAAUUCCACAUCCUUAUUGUUCUUACUGGAAAAAAACCUUUCCUUUGCCUUAGACGAAAUUUUCUUUCUUCCAGUCUAAACGCAUGACCUCGUGUCCUAUUUAAAGUCUGGUUUGUGAAUAGAUUUCCACACAAUGGUUUGUAUUGGCCCCGAAUAUAUUUGUAUAAUGUUAUCAAAUCCCCUCUCAUGCGACAUUUUUCUAAACUAAAUAGGUUUAAAUUUGUUAACCUUUCUUCAUAGCUGAUAUGUUCCAUUCCUUUUAUUCAUUUUGUAACCCGCCUCUGAACUUUUUCUAGUGCCAUAAUAUCCUUCUUUAGAACUGGUGCCCAAAAUUGCACAGCAUAUUCAAUAUGUGGUCUUACCAGUGAUUUAUAAAGAGGCAAAAUGAUAUUCUCGUCCCGAGAAUGAAUGCCCUUUUUCAUGCAUUACAAUACCUUACUGGCCUUGGCCACUGCGGAUUGACAUUGCACAUUUUUGCAUUGUUUGUUGUCUAUAACAAUUCCCAAGUCCUUUUCGUGUGUUGUUAUCCCUAAUUCGCUUCCAUUAAGGGAAUACGUUGCUUGUGUAUUCUUUACGCCGAAGUGCAUAACUUAGCAUUUUUCAACAUAAAAUUUCAUCUACAAUUUGAGUGCUCAGUCCCCCAGUCUAUCUAAAU